rnacentral:rRNA from 1 species
GACGAACGCUGGCGGCGUGCUUAACACAUGCAAGUCGAACGGAAAGGCCCUGCUUUUGUGGGGUGCUCGAGUGGCGAACGGGUGAGUAACACGUGAGUAACCUGCCCUUGACUUUGGGAUAACUUCAGGAAACUGGGGCUAAUACCGGAUAGGAGCUCCUGCUGCAUGGUGGGGGUUGGAAAGUUUCGGCGGUUGGGGAUGGACUCGCGGCUUAUCAGCCUGUUGGUGGGGUAGUGGCUUACCAAGGCUUUGACGGGUAGCCGGCCUGAGAGGGUGACCGGCCACAUUGGGACUGAGAUACGGCCCAGACUCCUACGGGAGGCAGCAGUGGGGAAUAUUGCACAAUGGGCGGAAGCCUGAUGCAGCAACGCCGCGUGCGGGAUGACGGCCUUCGGGUUGUAAACCGCUUUCGCCUGUGACGAAGCGUGAGUGACGGUAAUGGGCAAAGAAGCACCGGCUAACUACGUG